rnacentral:lncRNA from 1 species
CUGGCUCUGAACUUACCAGGUAUCCCAGGUUGGCCUCAGACUUGUAACAAUCCUGUUGCCUCAGCCUUUGGAGCACUGAGAUUAUAAACAAGCAUCAGCAAGCCUGGCCUAAAUGGAGAUUUUUAAGUGGAGGUUACUGUGAAUUAGCGACAGUGUAUUAGAUAAACAACUGGGAGAUGCGGAAGAUGCAAGAAGAUGGGAAGAAGGCAGUGGAGACCUAGGAAUGUUCAACUGGGUCCCAAGACACUGGCUGAUCUGUCCUCAAAGGCAGGUGAAAUAUGAAGUUUUGGGCUAAGACAAGUUAUAUUUACAAUAAGUUAAACUACUCCCAAACGUCAUGGGAUGAACAGCUCCUCAGUUAAAUAGAAGUUAUAAAAAUGCACCAUUCUAAAGAUUUAAGAACCCAUGAUUCCACAGAAAAUCCAAUACAAC